rnacentral:ncRNA from 1 species
UGAGUAGAGGUUGCGUUUUUCAUCAGUAACCCGCUGGAUGUGUUCAGGCACAGUGGAAUGCGGGGGAAAGGGGAGAACGCCGAAAGAUGCAGUACCUGUAACUGCAUGCUUGGGCAUACAGUGAAUAACUGUAUGACUGUCAUCGUAUUACGAUGGGGAGCUACCUGAA